rnacentral:miRNA from 1 species
GUUCAGCCAAGGAUGACUGGCCGGGCGUAUGGGGAUCUAUGCUAAGAGCGCUGAAUCAUGAAUGACCAUGAGCUAUAUGCAUUGUUGUUUUAGGUUGAGA